CCGGGAGCGCGCCGGGGAUGCGGGAGCGCGCCGGGGAUGCGGGAGCGCGCCGGGAGUCCGGGAGCGCGCGGGGAUCCCGGGCACGGCCAGGGCUCGGCUGGGCCCUGCUGGCAGAGCUGGGACACUCGGGAGAUGGGACAUUCGGGAACAGGGACACUCGGGAACAGGGACACUCGGGAGAUGGGACAUUCGGGAGAUGGGACACUCGGGAACAGGGACACUUGGGAACAGGGACACUCGGGAGAUGGUACACUCGGGAACAGGGACACUCGGAGAUGGGACAUUCGGGAACAGGGACACUUGGGAACAGGGAUACUCGGGAGAUGGGACAUUUGGGAACAGGGACACUCGGGAGAUGGGACAUUUGGGAACAGGGACACUCGGGAACAGGGACAUUUGGGAACAGGGACACUCGGGAACAGGGACAUUUGGGAACAGGGACACUCGGGAACAGGGACAUUUGGGAACAGGGACACUCGGGAACAGGGACAUUUGGGAACAGGGACACUCGGGAACAGGGACAUUUGGGAACAGGGACACUCGGGAACAGGGACAUUUGGGAACAGGGACACUCGGGAACAGGGACAUUUGGGAACAGGGACACUCGGGAACAGGGACAUUUGGGAACAGGGACACUCGGGAACAGGGACAUUUGGGAACAGGGACACUCGGGAACAGGGACAUUUGGGAACAGGGACACUCGGGAACAGGGACAUUUGGGAACAGGGACACUCGGGAACAGGGACAUUUGGGAACAGGGACACUCGGGAACAGGGACAUUUGGGAGAUGGGACACUUCGGGAACAGGGACACUCGGGAACAGGGACACUCGGGAACAGGGACACUCGGGAACAGGGACACUCGGGAACAGGGACACUCGGGAACAGGGACACUCGGGAACAGGGACACUCGGGAACAGGGACACUCGGGAACAGGGACACUCGGGAACAGGGACACUCGGGAACAGGGACACUCGGGAACAGGGACACUCGGGAACAGGGACACUUGGGAACAGGGACACUCGGGAGAUGGGACACUCGGGAACAGGGACACUCGGCACGCUCCGGACCCGCCCUCCUCCUGCCCCCGAACACUCUGCCGGAGCAAGCUCCCUUGCUGUGCUCUCCCUAGCCCAGGAAUUGCCUGCCAAAAACCGGAGGGUUUCGGUGCGCCUGCACCUCCCAGCACUCCCAAACUGCUCUUAUGAUUUAAAUGCAUUUACACUUCAUGUCCUCCACUCCACCGGAGAAGGAAGUUAUUAAGAAGUUUGCAGAAGGGUGUGCAGGAGGCACUAAGCAAACAGCCAGAAUAAAAAUCUCCUACUACCUCACCUUUUGCUAAACCACUCAACCAUCUUCCUUCUUUGUCCUUCUUCAACACAACCUUUUGAUUCUCUUUCAACACACUGAUGUGUUUUGGUUGGAAUUGCAAAAGAUUGGCCGAAAUAAUACUCGCUGGAUGUUUCAGAAAUAUUUUCCUUGUUUUGGUUGGGAUAGUUUUCUGGAACUGCCACAACAGUCUUUUAAAAUAAAGGCUAAAUGUCUCUGCAGGUAAAUAUGUAUAACCUGUGUUCCUGAAACAGUCAUGGAGCCUUAAGAUACAAUCCAGAGACACUCUCCUAUGUGACAACCACAUACUCGUGAUACUUCCUGCAAGAAUAAGAGCUUUGUGAGAGUUCUGAUUUCCCCAGAGUUAUACAAGAAACUGAAACAAGAGACUGUAAACACCUAUUAAUCCAGCCCUAUGCCAUAGCAGGACUUUCCCCUUACAUGAUUUCAUACUGUUAGGCCAGGCUCAUGCGACCCAAGCAAGAGUUACCCUCCUUCUCCAUGCUUUGCUCAUGUUUUCUUAUUUUUUUCUUCCUUUGCCAAUCACCUUUCACCAAAAAGCAAUGACUUUCUUUUACACAUCUCCCAACUCCACACCUUGCUUGGAACAUCGGCCCCUCCCAGGCCCAGGGUGUAGCAGAGAAGCUGCGGAAGGACUUUGCAAAGUCAGCUGUGGCUACAGUUAACCAAGCCACGACUGUUAGUGGUGAACAAACCCCUGACUCUUUCCCUGGUUCUCUCUCCAUGGCUCCCUCCUUGCCCCUUCUUCUCUGGGGAUGUUUAUUCACAGGCCAAACGAAAGAAGAAAAAUAUCUUGAAAUUAAACAUCACGUGGACAGGGCAGAACCCCGAAAAGAAAGAUCAGAGGAGUUUCGAGGGAACUGAAAGGGAGAGAUGAAGUAGAACACACAGGUAACUGGAAAGGAAAUCCCCAGGCGGAUAAUCCACAAUGUUCAUGGAAAACAGAAGAGCAGUCAGACUCCUGGAGGCCAGAGGAAGAUGCUGGAAUUGUUAACGUGUUAAAGUCCUGUAACGUGGAGCAGGCAACAGUGCAGACUGUCAGUGACAAGAACAGGAGCACGGCUCUGCCAGAGCCUGGCUCGAUAACCACGGCACAUCACAGGACACGACACGGAACUUCACCGUGGUACACAGUGAUCUGGCUGUGUCAAAAAAGAUAACUUAGCUGCUUUUCACUCACCUGGAUUUGCCAGGUUGUAUUGCAAUUUGUCCCUAUUUGUCGUGACACAGCAAAACGAAAAGUACUCCCCAAACCUGAUUCACAGCCAGUCAACGCUACCUUGGGAAACGUCACUGUUUCGGAGCACGGCACUCGUGAAGGAGGGCGCGGAGGUUUGGGCUGCAGUGUCAGCGCAGGGCUCGGCCGUGAGCCCGGGGCAGCUCCGGGAGAGCGGUGCCUGCUGCCAGACGGCCGAGAGCGGCCGGGAGCGCCCCGCGGGGGCGGCAGCGCCGCAGAAACCCGGGCCGGGCCGGGCUGGGCUGGGCUGGGAUAGACUAGGCUGAGCCGGGCUAGGCUGGGCUGGGAUAGACUAGGCUGAGCCGGGCUAGGCUGGCCCUGGCCGGGCCGGGCCGGGCGGGCGCGGUGCCGGGGCAGGUGCGGGCCCUCCCCGCGGGGCCCCCCCCCCCCCCCCCCCCCCCCCCCCCCCCCCCCCCCCCCCCCC
rnacentral:lncRNA from 12 species